AAAGAAAAAUAUUUAUUUUAUUUCUUUAUGAGUUCCGUGCGCGUCGCCGUUGUGACAUCACUGGCGCGCUGCGCGCUUUUGCUUCAGUCCGCGGGAGGUCUGAGCAGAGCGAGGUAUGCAUUUUGUUCAGUCUUGUUCAGAAGCGUGUUCAAAGGGAAAUAAUCACCAAUUACUUGAUUAGUGUUUUGUUAGGAUGUGCAAAUGAGUUACAUGAAUAUGUUACCUUUUCUUAGAACUGAGUUUAAAGCCGUUUUAACCUGCAAAAGUGUAGUUUUAGCCGAGAGAAUGCAGUGUGAUGUUGUCAGCGUGAAAAUUAGCCUGUGAAAGUUAGCCUAUGAAGCGUGGCUGCUGAUUUCUCUUUUUUUGUGUGAAUGUGUAGCAGGAGCAGGCUUGAUUGUACAACGAAUAAUUAACUGCAUGUUUUCUACUGAUGCAGAGCACUCAAUAUAAAAGGCAACUGAACCAGCAGACUGACUCCAGUGUUUAUUCCUCACCCCACAUCACAACGCAGAGGGGUAGUCGAGCCGUGAGGGCUGAACCGGCUACAUUGGCAUAGCAACUUUGGACACUUUC